rnacentral:rRNA from 1 species
AACGAACGCUGGCGGCAUGCCUAACACAUGCAAGUCGAACGAGACCUUCGGGUCUAGUGGCGCAUGGGUGCGUAACGCGUGGGAACCUGCACUUAGGUUCGGAAUAACUCCCCGAAAGGGGUGCUAAUACCGGAUAAUGUCUUCGGACCAAAGAUUUAUCGCCCUUGGAUGGGCCCGCGUUGGAUUAGCUAGUUGGUAGGGUAAAAGCCUACCAAGGCGACGAUCCAUAGCUGGUCUGAGAGGAUGAUCAGCCACACUGGGACUGAGACACGACCCAGACUCCUACGGGAGGCAGCAGAGGGGAAUAGUGGACAAGGGGCGAAAGCCUGAUCCAUCAAUGCCGCGUGAGUGAUGAAGGCCUUAGAGUUGUAAAGCUCUUUUACCCGGGAUGAUAAUGACAGUACCGGGAGAAUAAGCUCCGGCUAACUCCGUG